rnacentral:miRNA from 7 species
CUUUUUGGUGGUGCCCAGAGAUAGGACAAGGGGCAGUGGGCACAAACUGGAACACAGG